AGGACGAACGCUGGCGGCGUGCUUAACACAUGCAAGUCGAGCGAACCUUCGGGUUAGCGGCGAACGGGUGAGUAACACGUGGGCAACCUGCCCCGAGCUCUGGGAUAACUCCGGGAAACCGGGGCUAAUACCGGAUAUGACCCGAGAAGACAUCUUCUCGGGUGGAAAGUUUUUCGGCUCGGGAUGGGCCCGCGGCCUAUCAGCUUGUUGGUGGGGUAACGGCCUACCAAGGCGACGACGGGUAGCCGGCCUGAGAGGGCGACCGGCCACACUGGGACUGAGACACGGCCCAGACUCCUACGGGAGGCAGCAGUGGGGAAUAUUGCGCAAUGGGCGAAAGCCUGACGCAGCGACGCCGCGUGAGGGAUGAAGGCCUUCGGGUUGUAAACCUCUUUCAGCAGGGACGAAGCGAAAGUGACGGUACCUGCAGAAGAAGCACCGGCCAACUACGUGCCAGCAGCCGC
rnacentral:rRNA from 1 species